rnacentral:lncRNA from 1 species
GUGCACGCGCCCCGCGCGCCUCCACCUGCAGGGGCCGCGCGGACUCCCAGAAACGCUCCUGGAACCCGGAACGCUGGGCUUCCUGCCCGCUCGAAAGUCCCCGGCUCGCUCUGCAGCCGGCGGACUAGCGGGGGCUGCCGGCCGGCUAGAGGGGUUGGUGGAUGACGGCCAAUAGCCCUAGCAGACACCAUUCCAGGGAUGGGAGAUGGGUGGAAGAAGGAUAGCGCUCCGCCACCCCCACACAACUCGAAAGUUUUUGGAAACUGUGAACUGAGAAAUAUUUUUUCAUGAUGGCUCCGCAAACAAACCAAUUCUGACAAUUUUUACUUAAAUGGGACACUGUCACCCAGGAGUGGUCAAAGCUGCCCUGAAACAGAUGGAACUGCUAAAUACAAAUUCUCGAUUCCUCCACGACAACAUUGUUGAGUAUGCCAAACGCCUUUCAGCAACUCUGCCGGAGAAACUCUCUGUUUGUUAUUUUACAAAUUCAGGAUCCGAAGCCAACGACUUAGCCUUACGCCUGGCUCGGCAGUUCAGAGGCCA